rnacentral:tRNA from 1 species
CAGAAAGUAGUUUAGUUGAAAAUGCCAGCUUUGGGAGUUGGUGAUGAGGGUUCGAUUCCUUUCUUUCUGA